rnacentral:rRNA from 1 species
UACGUAGGGGGCAAGCGUUGUCCGGAAUUAUUGGGCGUAAAGAGUACGUAGGCGGUCUGUUAAGCGCAAGGUGAAAGGCAUAGGCUCAACCAAUGUGAGCCUUGCGAACUGGCAGACUUGAGUGCAGGAGAGGAAAGCGGAAUUCCUAGUGUAGCGGUGAAAUGCAUAGAUAUCGCGCAGAACUCCGAUUGCGAAGGCAGCAUGCCGGCUCCACACUGACGCUGAGGCACGAAAGCGUGGGUAUCGAACAGG